rnacentral:rRNA from 1 species
GUCCACGGCCAUGGCACCCUGAAUGUGCCCGAUCGUGUCUGAUCUCGGAAGCUAAGCAGGGUGGGGCAUGGUUAGUAAUAGGAAGACCAGGUGCUGUAGGUU